CCUACGGGUGGCAGCAGUAGGGAAUAUUGCUCAAUGGGGGAAACCCUGAAGCAGCAACGCCGCGUGGAGGAUGAAGGUUUUCGGAUUGUAAACUCCUUUUGUUAGAGAAGAUAAUGACGGUAUCUAACGAAUAAGCACCGGCUAACUCCGUGCCAGCAGCCGCGGUAAUACGGAGGGUGCAAGCGUUACUCGGAAUCACUGGGCGUAAAGAGCGCGUAGGCGGGAUAGCAAGUCAGAUGUGAAAUCCUAGGGCUUAACCAUAGAACUGAAUUGGAAACUGUUAUUCUAGAGUAUGGGGGAGGUAGGUGGAAUUCGUGGUGUAGGGGUAAAAUCCGUAGAGAUCAAGAGGAAUACUCAUUGCGAAGGCGACCUGCUAGAACAUAACUGACGCUGAUGCGCGAAAGCGUGGGGAGCAAACAGGAUUAGAUACCCCAGUAGUC
rnacentral:rRNA from 1 species